CACGAGCCGCGUCUGCCGGCGGAUAUGAAACAGCAGACCCUGAGGAUUUACUGAUGGAAUAAUCAUAAUGAUCGGUGGAUGAAGUUACUGUGAGGCUUCAUAGAAUGGAGUCUGGUGGAGAGACCUACCAGGACCGUCUGAGCGUCCGAGAGGUCAAAGGUCGGUUUGAGAGGAGCCAGGAAACACGCAGGAACGAUGUGUUUGUAGAUGAAGUCGGGGAAACCCACCAUGCCAUCUUUCCCUCCUGCAGCUCCACCAGCUUGGAGAGGAUGAUGAAGCAGGUUUUCUGAGCGACGGGGUCGGGGAAGUCCACGGCUCCCUGGAUGAUGGUGAACACAACUCGCUCGAUGUUCUCCGCUCCUGAAAACAAGAACAAAUAACUGCAGCUGUGCUCCAGCAGGAAGGUUUGCCUACAACUCUUCAUCAUUUCAGAAACGAGAAGUUCUGCUAUCCGUUAGCGACUCACCCUGGUUGGCCAUGACCUCGUUCAUCCCGCUGCCUGUGAUGGUCUGGAUGAAGGUGAAGUAGCUCCUCCUCAGCAUCUGUUUCUCCAGAGCGGCCGCCUGGUCGUUCUCCUCCGCCGGCCUGGCCAGCACCUCGAAGAUGGCGAGCACCAGCGGCAUGAAGACCUGCUGCAGGAAGGGAGACACCUGCCGCUGCCGUGGCAGAAAAAAGCUCGUUAAUCACCCCGAAGAAGAGCUGCCUCUCAGUUUCUAAACGUGUGAUUUUAGCGGACAUGUCCCAAACACCUAACCAGUCUGCAGUUUUUCCCCGCGUACCUUGAACUUGGCGGUGAUCUGGCUGAUGAGCGGGAUGAACUCCUGCAGAUCUUUGGCCUCGCAGUCCUUCAGCAUGUGUUCAGAGGCGGCGGGGAUGAAGGGCAGCACCUCCUCCUCCAAGCAGAUGAUCAUUCGGUGCAGGAAGGAGCGGACCGAGCUGCGCAGCACCCCCCGCUGGACGGGGCAGCUCAGCGCAGGCAGGAAGGUCUGCAGGCAGUCUCGGUAGACCUCCGUACAGCCGCACUGCUUCACCGUCUGCUUGUUGCUGAACGCCUUGCUGGUCCGACUGCAAACAGAGAAAGACGACGUGACGUUCAGCUAAUUUCUUUUGUUUUGCCUGAUUCAUGUAAAGACUCCCGCUGGCGAGCUUGAAAUGUUGAAACAAAGAAAAUAAAAAGCCACAAUCUAAAAAAAAAAAAAA